rnacentral:rRNA from 1 species
UCGGGAAUUUUGGGCAAUGGGCGAAAGCCUGACCCAGCAACGCCGCGUGAAGGAUGAAGUAUUUCGGUAUGUAAACUUCGAAAGAAUAGGAAGAAUAAAUGACGGUACUAUUUGUAAGGUCCGGCUAACUACGUGCCAGCAGCCGCGGUAAUACGUAGGGACCAAGCGUUGUUCGGAUUUACUGGGCGUAAAGGGCGCGUAGGCGGUGUGUCAAGUCAGUUGUGAAAUCUCCGAGCUUAACUCGGAACGGUCAACUGAUACUGUCACACUAGAGUACAGAAGGGGCAAUCGGAAUUCUUGGUGUAGCGGUGAAAUGCGUAGAUAUCAAGAGGAACACCUGAGGCGAAGGCGGGUUGCUGGGCUGAUACUGACGCUGAGGCGCGAAAGCUAGGGUAGCAAACGGGAUUAGAUACCCCCGUAGUCCCUGAGCGGGCUGGCAAGGCGCAU